CACAGUGUCACUGACCCAUAUCUUGUCUCUCCUGAAAAAACUAUAAUAACUUUGCUUUUUCAUGUAACAUUUAUGUUCUUUAUAGACUUAUGCUAAAUAGAUGAGUAGAACACACAUUAUUUCAGUAAUAGUUUAUUGCUACAGGCUUCUGUGGUAGCAUAAGCAGAAUUGAAUGUGUAGUAAAGAGUUGUAGGUACCAGUCCCAACCAGUUUUUACUUAGACAAGUCACUCUCCAAGCCUCAUUUUCUUCAAUUCAGUUAUAGAAAUAUUAUGUAACACACAGGAUUCAAAAUCAAAUGAGACUUGUGUGAAAGUACUUUUUAUAGUAUGAAGUGUUAUAUAAUGUUAGUGUCUAUUAUCAUCUUUAUCAGGCUUGGUCAGUCCAACUAGUAAUAAACCAUGUAACUAGUUUAUUACAUAUGUGGCUGAGAGAAAUUUAAUUGGAUAUAAAUACCAGUGUGAUAUGUCAUAAAAUAUGCUAAUCUGUAGCCCAUAUUUAAAUAGUUAUUUAUAGUAUACUGUAUAUGUCUGUAUUAUAAAUAGGCUUUUGAGGACAAAGAGUACAUCUCCUUAUUAAGCUUUAAGAGUUUCAGAGAGAGUGCAUAUAUAUGAAACAUUAUUUUUUCAUGUUGUCUAGGUGCAGUAGUGCACACCUGUGAGCCUAGCUACUUGGGAGGCUGAGGUGGGAGGAUUACCUGAGCCCAGGAAGUUGAGGCUGCAGUGAGCCAUGAUCAUGCUACUACACUUCAGCCUAGGUGACAGAGUGAGACUCUGUCUCAAGAAAAGGAAAAAAAAAAAAAAGUUUAGCCUCAGACUACGGUAAGGGGAGUGUCACUGUCAAAAAUAGUGGAGUUGAAAGGGAGCUGUUUAGAGAAGAUGUGCUUACUUUUGCAUGUGUUUGGGCAGGCAUGUAUAGACGUGGUGUCCUAUAGAAAGAGGAAAGAGAAGACAGUAUCUAAUUUCUACAUUCAUUCAAUAACUGUCUAGUGUCCUGACUAUGAUGUAGGAGAAAUAAAGAUGAAUAUAACUCCCACCUUGUUCUUGAAGACCCUAUAAUCUGGUGGGAGAAGAAGAAUAUAAGCCAGAUUGAAAUAAAUAACUGUGAUAAAACACACAGGCUAAGAAUGUGCAUGGGAAGAAGUGAUUAACACACUAGUUGUGAAGUACAAAGGGUUUUAUGGAGGACUGAAUAUUUUAACUGUGGCUUGAAGAUUGAGUACAAUUUUGAUAGAGAAGGAAAGAGCAUGUAACUGAAGAAAAAACACAAAAGUAUAUUGUAUGACUUGGGAAAAUAAAGUAGUCUAGAGUGGCUCUAUUAAUAGGGUUUGUAAAGAGGUGUAGUGGUAUAUAAUGCAAGAAAAGUAGGUUAGGGCAAAAAGAAAACAGAUCAGUGCCUGAUAUGAAUUACACACUGGGCCAAAAGUUUUCAUAUUUGCUAUUUCAUUUAAUUUCCAUAUAGCCAUGCAAAAUAGGUAUUUUGACACGGGGGGAAAACAGUCUCAGAGAGUUUUACUAAUUUGUUCAAAGUCUCACGCAUAAUAAGUAAUGGAGCUGAAAUUUCAAACCAGGUUGUUAUUUAACUCCAAAGCUGAAGCUAUUUGUAAUUUGGUAACUUAUCUCUAAAUUAAAAAAAAAAAAAAAAGGAAAAAAGGUUAUAUUCAUUAUAGGACUUUAAAAUAUAAAGUACUUUCACACCUGUUUGGUUUUUAUAACUAGUCAUUAAUCCCAGUUGAUGGAUGGGAAAAUUGAAGCCCAGGGAGAUUAUUCAAGGUCACGGAGUGAAUAAGUGGCAGAUUGGAAAUGCAACCCAAGCUUUCUGACUGCAAAGUCUCAAGCCUUUCCAACAUCCUUUUAAGAAGUCUGGAGAUCAUUUUGUAAGCAGUGGAAAGAGUUAGUGAACAUUUUUGAGAAGGGGAUGGCAUAAACAAUAAUGUUUAAAAAGAUUAGUUUGAGUUCACAUAGAAGAUGGUCUGGAAUGCACAGAGACAAGAACAUUAAUUAUUAAGCUAUUGUAAAAACACAGUAAUGAUGUAGACCUGAACAAAGAAAGUUUGGUGAUAAUAACAUAGAAGAAACAAAUUAGAGGCAUUUGGAAACAGAAUUUACAGGAUUUAGCUUUUGACUGCAUCUACCGUGAGAUAGGAGGACCAUGCCUAAAUAAUAAUGGAGGUGGGGACAAUGAUAGCUAAGAAGAGGUAGAUUUGGAUGGAGAGAAAUAGCCAUCCAAAUGGAUGUAUCCUGUGAGAGCUGGACAGUGGAGAUGUGGGAUCAUAUAGUAGGGCUAUGUAACAAGUCCCUCUAUAGUAGGGUUUGUUUAAGCUAGACUGUAAGUACACAGAGCCAGUGAGGGUCUGGUUUAUUUCUGCAUCCCCAGAGCCAGGAUAGUUCUUGGCACUCAGUAAAUAUUUGUUAACUUUGAAACUGGAUGAAGAUCUUUAAGGAUGGUAGAAUUUUUUGAAAAAUGUUCAAAGACAGAAAGCAAAAAGAAGAAAAUAUUUGAGGAAAGAUUUGAUAGAAACCAAGAAGCAUUAUGUAAAGGAAGUUGUGGGGAGAGAGUUACAAGAGUGUGAGAUGCCACACAGAGGCACUGUUGGAAGGGGAUCAAAGAUAGUGUUGCUGAAGUAAAAGUUCAGGAAGAGAGAUCGGAAGUCAACAUGCAAAGAACUGAAGAGGAAUGAGGGGGAGAACUGGAACCAGGCAGCAGAGAGUACUUUUUCAAAAAGUUUGGUGGUAAAGGAAAAGGGAGCAAUGAGAAAACACCUUAAGGAAGAAACAGGGUCAAGGAGGAAUUGCAAAGGCAUGUGUAGCUCAAGGGAAAGGAGCCAGAGAAGAGAGGUAAAUUGAAAAUACAAACAAAAUGAAGCUCAAGGAAAUGGAGGAGGAUGAGAUUGAAAAGACACAGAUGGAGUGAUCAGGAUUCGAUAUACAGAUCUGAGCAUGUUUCACAGAAAGGACAAGUUGAAGCCAAAUUUUAGGUGAGUGAUUAUAAACAGUGAUUGCAGAGGGAGAAGAGCAGAAGACUAAGGAAAUCUUUAGAGAAUGACCACAGGCAAGGGCAAAGGAGGGGUCGAAGAAACAGCAAUAGAAGUUGUGUAAAUUCACUGUCACAAAAACAGAUACACAACCAACCAAGUUUGAGAAAAAGCAACAAAUAGGCCAAAGUGUCAGGUGUUGUAGAAGAGAAUGAGAACUGGGAAUAAAUGGUAUAUAUCCAGUGAUAUUUGUACAAGCAGUUCAUGAACAAAACUUAGAACUCUUUUUUUUGGUCUAUUCAGUUAAAGCUGAUACAUUCCCAUGCAACUAAUUCAGAUUUUGAGGUGAAUAACAAAUUUCUUUAUCUAUAGAUAAGUUUAAAUUGUGAUGCCAUUUUUCUUUCAAAUGGUGUGAAUGUUGAAUCUAAUUCAGUCCUGUUAAUUUUCUUUAAAAAGCAUUUGAAGCAGAUGGAACUAGAAAGCCUACUUCUGUAAAUUCCAUUUACUCAUUCAUGCAUUGCUUUCAUUCAAGAAAUGUUUAUUGGUGUCUACCAUAUACUUUGCUAGUUACUGGAGUCAUGAGGGGAUAUGGCAAUAAACAAGAAAGACAAUGUUUAUUGCCUGAAAAAGUAAUACCGAAAGAAGAAAAACUUUGCUAUAUUGUUGCUAAUAGAAAAAAAUUAAUUUAACUUUUAAAAACAAUUGAAACAAUGAUUAAUUACAGUAAAUCUAUUUGAAUAACUUACGUAGGCCUGAAAAGACUUAUGAAAAUUAUAUAUGAAUAUGGUAAUUUUCCUCUAAUAUUAAAACAAAAUGCAACAUUGUUAUGAGAACAACGUGAAAAUACGUACAUGGAGAAAGGCUCAAUAGAAAUGCAAAUGUGUGUGCUAAAAUAAAGAAGUUAUUGGUGGUUUUACUUUUGAUUUUCCCUUAAAUUUUUUUAAAUUUUAAAUUAUUCUUUUUAAAAAUGUCUUCUACUAAUCUUAAAACAUUAGUAAGUAGUGAGAAAUAUUAUUUCUACUGAUUUAUGAAUACAUCCAUUCUUCACAUUCACAGUGGGAUUUGUAAAAGCAAUCCUUGGAUUUAAAACCUUUUUUUUUUUUUUAGCAAACAAAGCUCUCAAGUUGGUGAUCCUCAGGUAAAAUGUAACCCACAGAUACUGCACCAGUUAUUUAUUGCCACAAAAAUGCUGCCUAAGAAGCCACCCAAAGGGCAGUAGGUUAAAACAAUAACUGUACCUUUUUUCUUAGGCGUCUCUGCAUUAGUUGGACAGCUCCUCUGGAAUUAUCUUCUAAGUCAGCUGUGGGUUGGGUAGGUGGCUCUGCUGAUUUUUCGCUGGACUUCCACAUUUGGGACCAGUUGGCUUUCAUCAGCUCUAGAAAGGGUGUGGCUGUUUUACAUUGGCUGUUUUCCUCACAUUCCUCCAGCAGGUACUGUAAUAAAGAACUGGAGAAAUAAAGUCAGAUGGGAAGUUGCCCCUACUAUCAAGGAGCUUGCCAUCUAAUGGGGGAGACAGGCAAGUAAACCAAAGACUACACAGUACAGUAUGGUAAGUGCCAUGAUUUUGAUAUGACAGGCCCUAAGGGCACAGUGGAAGACCUUCCAAAUCAAAGCAAGUAAGUAUGGGUUGACAAUGGUAAGUAUCAUAGUGGAAGUAUCCUUGAACAAGGUUUCAGGAAGAAGAAGAGGGGAAUUUUCAUGCAGGGAAGCAACCAAAGUUCAGUGAGUCAAAAUAUAGCAUUCUUGGUAAGCCCAAUUUUUUUUUCUAUUUUGCUAUUUUGGUGGAGAGAAAGGAAUACAUAAAAGAAUAACAUGAGAGAAAGCUAUUUGGGGAAUGUAGUAGUUAAGGUUCUGGUUGCAAACAACAACUCCAGCUAGUUAAGCUGACUUUAGUGGAAGGAUACUGGGGUAUCUCAUGGGAUCCUGGGAACUGUUGAAUAACCAGGGAAACUCUGGGGAACUCACUGGUAGGAAUCCAUAAACUGUCUUCCUGGUGGGCUGUAAACAACUCACCCUCUAUGCAUCUCACAUCAAAAUUCCAGUUUCUUGGGAAAACAAGUCUGUUUGCCCAAUUUGGGUCAUAUUUCCACCUCCAUGUUACGCAGGCAUGACUCAUCUGCAAGUUAUGUGUAUAGAUAUUUUGCUACUCUUCCACCCUUAUGCUAUGUGGGGGGGGCGAGGUGUCACUGUGAGCUGUGUGGCUGCCUUAAGAGAUAUCUGUUGUGUCUUAUUACUUGGUUGCCUUUCCCCACAUGUACAAUGACAAAAACGCCUUCAACCUAUUCGAUCCAGCCAUUCCAGUACAACUGCUAUACUUGCCAUCUUUCUAAGCCCAAAGGCACAUCCAGCUGAUGGAAGGAGCAUCUUGGGUUUAAUAUUCUUUUAGUCAUGAUAUCUGAAAGUAAAAUGUCUAUUUUUCUAAUUCUGGCACAGUCUUAUCUAGCUAUAGUUCCUCAUGGUCCUGCACUCCAUGGACUAAAUUGUAAGUAUAAUUACUACCAAUGCACUCUAUAAAUAACUGUUGGGGCCAGGGUGGCAAUAGUUGC